GGGGAAUGAAUCUGUGGCCUGAGCUAUUUGGACUUGGAACCCUGAAGGUCUGCCAGUGGGCUGGAGCAGAAUGAAGGAACUAAAAUACUAGGGCUAUGACCUUGAUUCCAGCAUAAGAACUCUAGCCGCUGAGAGGAAGAGGCAAUUCUCAAGUGGUGCUAGGAAUCAAGCCCUGAAAAGAAGACUGAACACUAAGAAGACACAUAAAAGUAGACAAGAUAUCCAUUCCAAUGGAUCCACAAAUCUCAAUAUAGAAACAUAAAAAAUAUGAAGUUUACAGGAUCAGAGUCAGGAACGUCCACAAUGACCAUCUGUGCUGGGUAGCUGGAGGAUCCAGUAGCUGCUUAGCCCAAGAAAAGAUGAAAACUGCAGAACAAGACAGAUCCAGGAUGCUGCACCAGUCAAAGAUCAAAGAUCAAUGGCCUGACCGCUCACUGUACAGUCACUGGUGUGCUUCUGCAUUGAAAAGUGGAAGAAAAUGGAGACAGAUGUUGAAAGGCAAUGGUGAACACUGGAGCGCUUCCAAAUUGGCACACUUCCUCCUUUCUCUUUAUAUUCCAUCCAGGCUACAAGCCUAUUGGUUAGUGGCUGCCACAUCUGGCAUGGGUCUUCCUCUCAAUUUGCUGGCCUCUAUGUCAAACAUCCACAGGCACACCUAAAACUGAGCUCUACUAAUCUCCUAGGUGCUUCUUACUCAAGUCAAAUUGACAUAAUGGUCACAGGAUGCUAUUAAAAAUAGUAUGGUAAAGAAUUUAAGGUUUUUAUUUAUUGUUUUUGAGACAAGGUCUCACUGUUACCCUGAACUCCUGGGUUCAAGUGAUCCUGCUAUCUUAGCCUACAGCAUAGCUGGGACUAUAGGCAUGUAUUAUCAUUCCCUGUACAAUUUUAGAUUUUUUCACAAUGAUUUCCUUCCCUCUUUCCUUCCUUCCUUCCUUCCUUCCUUCCUUCCUUCCUUCCUUCCUUCCUUCCCUCCCUCCUUCCUGUAUUUGUUGUGCUGGGACUUGAUCCCAGAGUCUCUUACUGAACUAUAUUCCCAGCUCAUUUCAUUGUUUAUUUUGAAACAAAGUCUGGCUAAAUUGUCCAGCUGGACUUGAACUUGGAAUCCUCCUGCCUUACCCUCCUGAGUAGCUGGGAUUGCAGACAUGUGCCACUGCAUACCACUUUCACAUCCAUCUAUCUACUGUAUCUAUCUAUCUAUCAUCUAUCUAUCUAUUUGAGAGUCUCACCACAUAGCCUAGGCUGGCUGUAAAAUUGCCAUCUUUUUGCUGGGAUUGCAGGUGUGCAUUAUUAUACCUGGCUCUGUCACAAUGAUUUUAAUUGUGAAAAUUAAAAUGUCUUUCUUACCUGCUUACCUCUUAGGCCUCUUCUUACUCCCUUUCCUUCUGUGCUUUUAAGCAAAUCCCAUUCCUGAAGAUGUAUGGUGGUAGCUUCCCUCAGGUCUACAGCUGUCUGCUUAUUUAGCUUCUGCAUUAGCAAACCAGUUCUCGCAAGAAACAAUAAAUGA